rnacentral:rRNA from 1 species
AUUGAACGCUGGCGGCAGGCUUAACACAUGCAAGUCGAACGAAGUGGCUAACGGGUGAGUAAUACGUGGGUAACCUGCUCUCCUUUUUGGGAUAGGCCUUGGAAACGGGGUCUAAUACGGAAUAAAGGGGGAUGGGCUCGCGGCCUAUCAGCUUGUUGGUGGGGUGGUGGCCUACCAAGGAGGUGACGGGUAGCCGGCCUGAGAUGGUGACCUGCCACAUUGGGAGGGGGGUACUGCCCAGACUCAUACGGGAGGCAGCAGGGGGGGAUAUGGCUCAAGGGGCGAACGCCUGAUGCAGCGACGCCGCGUGGGGGAUGAAGGCUGUCGGGUUGGAAUCCUCUUGCGCUUGCGAACGGGUAGGUGGAGUAGCAGCGCCCGCUAACUACGUGCCAGCAGCCGCGGUAAUAC